rnacentral:rRNA from 1 species
UGCAGUCGAGCGGUAGAGAGAAGCUUGCUUCUCUUGAGAGCGGCGGACGGGUGAGUAAUGCCUAGGAAUCUGCCUGGUAGUGGGGGAUAACGUUCGGAAACGAACGCUAAUACCGCAUACGUCCUACGGGAGAAAGCAGGGGACCUUCGGGCCUUGCGCUAUCAGAUGAGCCUAGGUCGGAUUAGCUAGUUGGUGAGGUAAUGGCUCACCAAGGCGACGAUCCGUAACUGGUCUGAGAGGAUGAUCAGUCACACUGGAACUGAGACACGGUCCAGACUCCUACGGGAGGCAGCAGUGGGGAAUAUUGGACAAUGGGCGAAAGCCUGAUCCAGCCAUGCCGCGUGUGUGAAGAAGGUCUUCGGAUUGUAAAGCACUUUAAGUUGGGAGGAAGGGCAUUAACCUAAUACGUUAGUGUUUUGACGUUACCGACAGAAUAAGCACCGGCUAACUCUGUGCCAGCAGCCGCGGUAAUACAGAGGGUGCAAGCGUUAAUCGGAAUUACUGGGCGUAAAGCGCGCGUAGGUGGUUUGUUAAGUUGGAUGUGAAAUCCCCGGGCUCAACCUGGGAACUGCAUUCAAAACUGACUGACUAGAGUAUGGUACAGGGUGGUGGAAUUUCCUGUGUAGCGGUGAAAUGCGUAGAUCUAGGACGGAACACCAGU